rnacentral:rRNA from 1 species
UAAGCAACCUGCCUUCAGGAUGGGGACAACAGACGGAAACGACUGCUAAUACCGAAUAAGUUCCAAGAGCCGCAUGGCCCAUGGAAGAAAAAGGUGGCCUCUACCUGUAAGCUAUCGCCUGAAGAGGGGUUUGCGUCUGAUUAGCUGGUUGGAGGGGUAACGGCCCACCAAGGCGACGAUCAGUAGCCGGUCUGAGAGGAUGAACGGCCACACUGGAACUGAGACACGGUCCAGACUCCUACGGGAGGCAGCAUG